AUGAGUUGCUUGAGUUGGAACUGCCAGGGGCUUGGGAACCCUGGGGCAGUUCACGAGCUUCACGGUAUCGUGAAGCAAGAAGUGCUCGGUCUCCUUUUCGUUAUGGAGACAAAGAUAGCGGCAGGAAGAGUGGAAAGCUUACAGAAUUUGUUCGGUUUUGCGGGCUAUUUCGCAGUUAACAGUGUGGGACUUAGCGGAGGGAUUGGCAUGUUUUGGACAGCUGAUUUUGAUGUUGAGUUAAAGAACUACAGUGCCGGCCAUAUUGAUGUUAUGGUGCAGAGGAAGAAUAACGUAGCUAUGGUAUGGAGAGUAACCGGUUUCUAUGGAGCUCCACGGGCUGAGGAUAGACACCAUAGCUGGAGGUUCAUGAGAACACUUUUUGCAAGCAUGAAGUCUAGAUGUGCAUCGGAGAUUUCAAUGAAAAGUUGCUUGGUUUUGAACACUUCUCGAGAACACCACGUCCCGAGUGGCAGAUGCGUGCGCUCCGGGAAGUCACAGAUGAGUGUAUGCUUACUGAUUUGGGAUGGACGGGAGUAG
rnacentral:rRNA from 1 species